GACGAACGCUGGCGGCGUGCCUAAUACAUGCAAGUCGAGCGAAUCAAAGGGAGCUUGCUCCCUGAGAUUAGCGGCGGACGGGUGAGUAACACGUGGGCAACCUGCCUAUAAGACUGGGAUAACUUCGGGAAACCGGAGCUAAUACCGGAUAAUUCAUAUCUACUCAUGUAGAUGUGCUGAAAGACGGUUUCGGCUGUCACUUAUAGAUGGGCCCGCGGCGCAUUAGCUAGUUGGUGAGGUAACGGCUCACCAAGGCGACGAUGCGUAGCCGACCUGAGAGGGUGAUCGGCCACACUGGGACUGAGACACGGCCCAGACUCCUACGGGAGGCAGCAGUAGGGAAUCUUCCGCAAUGGACGAAAGUCUGACGGAGCAACGCCGCGUGAGUGGUGAAGGUUUUCGGAUCGUAAAACUCUGUUGUUAGGGAAGAACAAGUACCAGAGUAACUGCUGGUACCUUGACGGUACCUAACCAGAAAGCCACGGCUAACUACGUGCCAGCAGCCGCAGUAAUAC
rnacentral:rRNA from 1 species